rnacentral:rRNA from 1 species
UACGUAGGGUGCAAGCGUUAAUCGGAAUUACUGGGCGUAAAGCGUGCGCAGGCGGUUGUGCAAGACAGAUGUGAAAUCCCCGGGCUUAACCUGGGAACUGCAUUUGUGACUGCACGGCUAGAGUGCGGCAGAGGGGGAUGGAAUUCCGCGUGUAGCAGUGAAAUGCGUAGAUAUGCGGAGGAACACCGAUGGCGAAGGCAAUCCCCUGGGCCUGCACUGACGCUCAUGCACGAAAGCGUGGGGCGCAAACAGG